AUAGGUUAAUGAGGCGAACCGGGGGAACUGAAACAUCUAAGUACCCCGAGGAAAAGAAAUCAACCGAGAUUCCCCCAGUAGCGGCGAGCGAACGGGGAGGAGCCCAGAGCCUGAAUCAGCAUGUGUGUUAGUGGAAGCGUCUGGAAAGGCGCGCGAUACAGGGUGACAGCCCCGUACACAAAAGCGCAUGUGCUGUGAGCUCGAUGAGUAGGGCGGGACACGUGGUAUCCUGUCUGAAUAUGGGGGGACCAUCCUCCAAGGCUAAAUACUCCUGACUGACCGAUAGUGAACCAGUACCGUGAGGGAAAGGCGAAAAGA
rnacentral:rRNA from 1 species